rnacentral:tRNA from 1 species
AAUAAAGUGCCUGAGAAAAGGGCUAUCUUGAUAGGAUAGAUAAUACAAUUUCGUUUUGUCUUUAUUA